GCUCAAUUGCAUGCAUGACUUCCGGUCCGAAGUGUUGUCUCGCGGCGGAGCGCUUGAGCUGCCGUGCCCCACUAUUAGCGUGCGCUACUCCCGUUGGCCUGCGUUGGUACCGCAUGUAGCUGUAGGCUCCUCCCCCUGUUAUCGUCAGUGUGCCGCCAAUCGAGUCAACAGGUAUAGUGUGUUUUAAUCCAGCAUUGGGCCCAUACGGUAAUUUCAAUAAUAAACAUUUUUACCAAUUGUAUACAUUCUGUUUUUAGAUGAGGGACGGCUACUGAGCAACCUGAACGGCUGAACCCUGCUGCUUUGUCUUUAUAUUUCGUCUGCAGUUUCAAUUACAGCGCCGUCCGCUGUUGUGUUUACAGCUUUGUCUGUUGUCCUUGUUUAUAGCGCUGUUUGUUGUCUGUUGCCUACAGCGUUGCAACAGAUUUGGCGUUGUGUUACCACGGCCGAAACCGUUACAGCCAUUUUUCAUAAGUGUGCCGCCUUGGCCAUUGGGUUUCUUUUGCUUUGAAUAUAGUUUGUUUAUUUACUUUCUUUUCUGUUUUUGAGCAAAGGAUAUUUUGUUUGGAUUGAUUGUUUGCCCCGUUUUGGUUUCGUAUUAGUUUUGUUUUAUUGUGUUUGAUUCUUGUCUGUUUUACUUUACAGAGGUCUGUGGUGGCGGCGGUGUCCCUUUUCUUCCUGUGUGCUGUGCUUCCCUGGGAUUUGUGUUUGUGUGUGUGAUUAUCAUUUACCCGGGUGAUUUAUAUUAUUUGGACCCUUCCCUUCGCUAGUCCCCCCAUUCACAUCAGCCUCCGUCAGAACAGUUUAUUGUGUGAUUAGUCCAUUGGAUUAAUUAAAUAAAAUAUAUAUUGUUAAAACUGUGAACCACGUCUCCUGCCAUUAGAGUCAACUUACUUGCGUGUCCUAAAUUAAAUCUUUGGGUGAAAGUCCCAAGGUGGCGUUGUCUGCAACCUCCUGAACACGGGCUGUGCUUGGUGUGGUCCCUAACGUGACCUCGCCCCACGCCCGCUUCUCCCCUCGCCCUGCCACACACUGAUGACAGCAAACGUAUAUAGAACGCAGAGUCUAUAGGACGUUAAAUUGCCAACUUGGCUUAUUCACUGCUGAAAGAACGAAAGGCAGCAGCUUUACUUUGUAAACUGCCAACUUAUACACAACUCGUAUGAGAUGUGGUGCUUUACUGCAAACGACUGUAUCAGUGUGUUUUAUCUACUGAUUAUACACAUUUUAUGUGUUUAGGCCAUUUAUAAGAUCUCGUUAACAUCACUAAAGGUAAUUUCCAAAUACAUUAAAGAAAAGAAAAAGACAAAAGCAAAGAGACUUUGCAGCAGUAGCACACUUUUAUUUGAACAGAGUGGGAGACGAAUCAGGGGCCGUAUUCACAAAGCAUUUUAUCUUACCGCUAGGAGUGCUCCUAACUCGCGCUAAACCAUUUUACGUAGGAGUUUUUUCUUAAAAGUUAUUCACAAAGCCGCUGAGACCUAGGCUACUCUUACUAAGGAUAAAUCACAAAGAGUGACCUAAGAGUGACGCGCCGUUGCUAUGGAUUACGUAAAUUCUCGUGCACGAGUUUAGAAGCGGUCAGUUCGGUGAUUGGAGCAAGGUACGUUUUAUUACUCUGUUUUCUGGGAAUAAUUGACGCAAGCAGAAACCAGAAAACAAGCCGUUUUUUCGUUUUGACAAGAAAACGAAAAUCAAGAUUUCAGUUUGUUUAUUCGUUUCUACGUUUUGUCAAAAAAACGAAAAUCAAUAUUUCAGUUUGUUUAUUCGUUUUUUGGUUCUUACUGAGCGAAACGAGUUUACCACUCAAUAUCUGGGGCCGUAUUCACAAAGGAUCUUAGGGCUAAAAGUAGGUCCUAACUGGCGAAUUUAGGAGUAACUCCUAAAAAUAAUGGGCGUGUCACUCUUAAAUUUAGGACUCCUAACUUUUUUCACUAAGAGCAAUUCACAAAGUAUUUUAGGACUAAAAGUAGCACCUAAAUCUAGGAGAGCUUAAAAGUCCUCAAGAGGACUCCUAACUCAGUAAGACCUAUUCACAAAGAAUCUUAAAAUGCCUGCGAGACGAAAUGUUAGGGUAUUCAACUUAUUGUGGAGUUAAUGCGCGAUGCAAUAACAUCCCCGACUAACAGGAAUAAUCCGAUUAGUCCCGAAAUAAAAUGUUAUAAAAAUUAUAAGUUAUAAAAAAAUAUAUAUAACUUAUAAAAAAUAAAAAUAAUUGCGCCAUCAAAAGACGAGGACGUGUUCGUCAAUAGUGGGAAAGAAAGUGCAUUCCAUCAACACGCAGGUUGUUUUUGAUGCAAAUUUUAACAUAGCCUACUGGAUGUUGUUGCAAAGUGGCCUGGAUCUUCAGCUACCCAUGAUUCGCGCAUUUUAAUGGUGAGCGGUCUGAGGCAGCUUUUUGAGAUGUACCAGUUGGGUGUCACUUGCUGGGUGACGGUGACUAUCCAUGCAAGACGUGGCUCUAGACACCCUACCUUAAUCCACAACCGGGAGCACAGUUAAAGUGUAACAUGUAAGUGAUUACGCAGAUUACGCUUAGUCCUAUGCGUAAAACACUAUUGGCUCUUUGCGAGCACACAAACAUACACGAAAUGUUGUGGAGAGAGGAAUUGGGCAUAUGAAACGUCGGUUUCAUGUCCUCCACGGCGAAAUACGCCUCACCCCAGAGAGGGCAAGCACAGUAAUCACUGUAUGUGCCAUUCUACACAACCUUUGCAAGCGGAGGAACAUUCCACAGCCAGACGAUGAUGAUGAUGAUGAUGGCGAUCAACAUUACAAGGAAUUUGGCCGUGUGGAACCGAGUGGACAGGCAUUUAGGGAUCACUUUGAAAACACAUUUUAGGUAAACACCUUGGCACAAAUCAGUCAACACUUGGGUAGUUCGUAACAUUUAUUUUCUUUUAGAUUUUACGUAUUUUUAUUGUUUGCUUUCUCUCUCUCUUGAACGUGCAGGCUACAACGUCAUUAUCGUGGUCUGCACAAAAUUGUCAUCAUGCGUGUAUUCUGCUAACUGCACUAUAACUACUUAAUUAAUUUCUAGCCUAGGCUAUUUCCUUGUUUUUCGGUGAUUCAGUGGGCUCGUCUGAACAACCAAUCACCGAACUGACCGCUUCUAAACUCGUG